GAGAUUGGAAUUCCUGGUGUAGCGGUGGAAUGCGCAGAUAUCAGGAGGAACACCGAUGGCGAAGGCAGAUCUCUGGGCCGUAACUGACGCUGAGGAGCGAAAGGGUGGGGAGCAAACAGGCUUAGAUACCCUGGUAGUCCACCCCGUAAACGUUGGGAACUAGUUGUGGGGUCCAUUCCACGGAUUCCGUGACGCAGCUAACGCAUUAAGUUCCCCGCCUGGGGAGUACGGCCGCAAGGCUAAAACUCAAAGGAAUUGACGGGGACCCGCACAAGCGGCGGAGCAUGCGGAUUAAUUCGAUGCAACGCGAAGAACCUUACCAAGGCUUGACAUAUACGAGAACGCUGCAGAAAUGUAGAACUCUUUGGACACUCGUAAACAGGUGGUGCAUGGUUGUCGUCAGCUCGUGUCGUGAGAUGUUGGGUUAAGUCCCGCAACGAGCGCAACCCUCGUUCUAUGUUGCCAGCACGUAAUGGUGGGAACUCAUGGGAUACUGCCGGGGUCAACUCGGAGGAAGGUGGGGAUGACGUCAAAUCAUCAUGCCCCUUAUGUCUUGGGCUUCACGCAUGCUACAAUGGCCGGUACAAAGGGCUGCAAUACCGCAAGGUGGAGCGAAUCCCAAAAAGCCGGUCCCAGUUCGGAUUGAGGUCUGCAACUCGACCUCAUGAAGUCGGAGUCGCUAGUAAUCGCAGAUCAGCAACGCUGCGGUGAAUACGUUCCCGGGUCUUGUACACACCGCCCGUCAAGUCAUGAAAGUCGGUAACACCUGAAGCCGGNNGCCCAACCUCUUGUGGAGGGAGCCGU
rnacentral:rRNA from 1 species